rnacentral:rRNA from 1 species
GUGAGGAAUAUUGGUCAAUGGGCGGGAGCCUGAACCAGCCAAGUCGCGUGAAGGAAGAAGGAUCUAUGGUUCGUAAACUUCUUUUGCAGGGGAAUAAAGUGCAGGACGUGUCCUGUUGUGUAUGUACCCUGAGAAUAAGGAUCGGCUAACUCCGUGCCAGCAGCCGCGGUAAUACGGAGGAUCCGAGCGUUAUCCGGAUUUAUUGGGUUUAAAGGGUGCGUAGGUGGUUCGAUAAGUCAGCGGUGAAAGUCUGCAGCUUAACUGUAAAAAUGCCGUUGAAACUGUCGGACUUGAGUGUAAAUGAGGUAGGCGUAAUGCGUGGUGUAGCGGUGAAAUGCAUAGAUAUCACGCAGAACUCCGAUUGCGAAGGCAGCGUACUAAGCUACAACUGACACUGAAGCACGAAAGCGUGAGGAUCAAACAGGAUUAGAUACCCCGGUAGUCC